UAAAGUCUAUAAGUACCUACAUGGGGAACAAAUAUUUAAUAAUGGGCUCUCCAAUCUAGCAGACACAGGUAUAACACGUUCCAAUGGCUGGAAGUUGAAGCUACACAAAUUCAGACUGGAAAUAUGACAUACAUUUUUAACAGUAAAAGUAAUUAACCCCUGGAGCAAUUUACCAAUGGUUGUGGUGGAAUCUCC